rnacentral:lncRNA from 1 species
ACCUUGGCCUCCCAAAGUGUUGGGAUUACAGGUGUGAGCCACUGCACCUGGCCGGUCUCUGUCUUUUAGAACCUUAUGGUGAUGGAACACAGAGCAGGCACUUGCUGGCUAUUAGCUGACUGCCCAAAUGAAUGCACUAUCAGACACUGCAGGAAAAAGGAUAAAGAGAACACUUUCAAGUUUCUCUUUCUUCAGUUCUUUGCUACUCAUCUACUCUGUCUUUUAAUGGGCCUCUUCCACUUCCUCCUUCUGUGCCUCACCAUGGGUCACUGUGGUCAGGGAGACUCAGCUCUUUGGCCUAGUAUGUAAAUCUAAAAGCUGUGCAAUGGUUCUAUUUAAAUUGGAACAAUUCAUGCAGCCAGUCUUUACUGAACAUGUACGUGCCUAGGAAGUCUCAGGAAUGGAUAGAAGAUAAAGUACAUAAUAGUUUCCUGAAGCAGCAGAAUGAAAGAACUCUCUGUGGCAUGAAAAUUUACUGGAGGCAGCAGCUGAGGCUGUGGUGGGAGAAGAAUGACAAGAACUGAGCGUGGGCCACGGGCUCUUACCUUCAGCAACUUCAUCAGCUC